rnacentral:ncRNA from 1 species
GGGAGCUGGAUGCGUAGAAAUACGCACGUCCAGAUCUAAUUGAGAGGGGCUAGGGAUAAUACCCUACCUCGACUCUAC